rnacentral:rRNA from 1 species
AACGAACGCUGGCGGCAGGCUUAACACAUGCAAGUCGAACGCCCCGCAAGGGGAGUGGCAGACGGGUGAGUAACGCGUGGGAAUCUACCCAAUUCUUCGGAACAACACAUGGAAACGUGUGCUAAUACCGAAUGAGCCCUUCGGGGGAAAGAUUUAUCGGAAUUGGAUGAGCCCGCGUUGGAUUAGCUAGUUGGUGGGGUAAAGGCCUACCAAGGCGACGAUCCAUAGCUGGUCUGAGAGGAUGAUCAGCCACACUGGGACUGAGACACGGCCCAGACUCCUACGGGAGGCAGCAGUGGGGAAUAUUGGACAAUGGGCGCAAGCCUGAUCCAGCCAUGCCGCGUGAGUGAUGAAGGUCUUAGGAUUGUAAAGCUCUUUCACCGGUGAAGAUAAUGACGGUAACCGGAGAAGAAGCCCCGGCUAACUUCGUGCCAGCCGCCGCCGUAACA